rnacentral:rRNA from 1 species
GGGUAACCAAGCCUAUUACGGAGCGGCGAACGGGUGAGUAACACGUGAGCAACCUGCCCCGAAGACCGGGACAAGCCGGGGAAACCUGGUCUAAUACCGGAUGUCUUCACCGAGUCGCAUGGCUUGGUGAAGAAAUGGAUUCCGCUUCGGGAUGGGCUCGCGGUCUAUCAGCUUGUUGGUGGGGUAACGGCCUACCAAGGCGACGACGGAUAGCUGGUCUGAGAGGACGAUCAGCCACACUGGGACUGAGACACGGCCCAGACUCCUACGGGAGGCAGCAGUGGGGAAUCUUGCGCAAUGGGGGAAACCCUGACGCAGCGACGCCGCGUGCGGGAUGAAGGCCUUCGGGUUGUAAACCGCUUUCAGCAGGGACGAAAUUGACGGUACCUGCAGAAGAAGGCCCGGCCAACUACGUGCCAGCAGCCGCGGUAAUACGUAGGGGCCAAGCGUUGUCCGGAUUUAUUGGGCGUAAAGAGCUCGUAGGCGGUUCGGCAAGUCAGCUGUGAAAUCUCCACGCUCAACGUGGAGAGGUCAGCUGAGACUGCCGUGACUAGAGUCCGGUAGGGGAGUGUGGAAUUCCCGGUGUAGCGAUGAAAUGCGCAGAUAUCGGGAGGAACACCAGUAGCGAAGGCGGCACUCUGGGCCGGUACUGACGCUGAGGA